rnacentral:rRNA from 1 species
GACGACAACGUUGAUAGGAUGCAGGUGUAAAGCUGGAGACAGCAAAGCCGAGCAUUACUAAUUGCCCGUCAGCUUUCCUUA